AGCGCAGACGGUUUAUUAAGUCUGAUGUGAAAGCCCGGAGCUCAACUCCGGAAUGGCAUUGGAAACUGGUUAACUUGAGUGCAGUAGAGGUAAGUGGAACUCCAUGUGUAGCGGUGGAAUGUGUAGAUAUAUGGAAGAACACCAGUGGCGAAGGCGGCUUACUGGACUGCAACUGACGUUGAGGCUCGAAAGUGUGGGUAGCAAACA
rnacentral:rRNA from 1 species